rnacentral:rRNA from 1 species
AAUAGAUACCCGGGUAGUCCACGCCGUAAACGAUGUCGACUUGGAGGUUGUUCCCUUGAGGAGUGGCUUCCGGAGCUAACGCGUUAAGUCGACCGCCUGGGGAGUACGGCCGCAAGGUUAAAACUCAAAUGAAUUGACGGGGGGCCCGCACAAGCGGUGGAGCAUGUGGUUUAAUUCGAUGCAACGCGAAGAACCUUACCUACUCUUGACAUCCAGAGAACUUUCCAGAGAUGGAUUGGUGCCUUCGGGAACUCUGAGACAGGUGCUGCAUGGCUGUCGUCAGCUCGUGUUGUGAAAUGUUGGGUUAAGUCCCGCAACGAGCGCAACCCUUAUCCUUUGUUGCCAGCGGUUCGGCCGGGAACUCAAAGGAGACUGCCAGUGAUAAACUGGAGGAAGGUGGGGAUGACGUCAAGUCAUCAUGGCCCUUACGAGUAGGGCUACGACACGUGCUACAAUGGCGUAUACAAAGAGAAGCGACCUCGCGAGAGCAAGCGGACCUCAUAAAAGUCGUCGUAGUCCGGAUUGGAGUCUGCAACUCGACU